AUGGGCGCGAGGGACCCGGAGGAGCCGUCGCAGAUGCGGCGGGCGCUGGUGGACACGCUCGCGGGGGCCAUCUCCGGGGGCAUCUCCCGCACCGUCACAUCCCCCCUCGACGUCAUCAAAAUCCGCUUCCAGGUUCAAUUAGAGCCCACAACCUCGUGGGGUCUACUUCGGAAAGAUGUCUAUGGACCUUCCAAGUACACUGGACUUCUACAAGCAACUAAAGAUAUUCUCCGAGAGGAAGGUUUGCCGGGAUUCUGGAGAGGAAAUGUACCAGCCUUGUUUAUGUAUAUGCCAUAUACAGCUAUACAAUUUACUGUUCUACACAAGCUAAAAACCUUUGCAUCUGGUUCAUCGAGAACAGAGGAUCACCUACACUUAAGUCCGUACUUGUCUUACGUAAGUGGGGCUAUUGCGGGAUGUGCAGCGACAGUAGGGUCAUAUCCAUUUGACCUUCUCAGAACUAUUCUUGCAUCACAGGGUGAACCAAAGGUUUACCCCAAUAUGCGAUCUGCACUUUUUGACAUAAUUCAAACUCGUGGUGUUCGAGGGCUUUAUGCCGGUUUAACGCCAACUCUCGUUGAAAUCAUACCAUAUGCUGGCUUGCAGUUCGGUUCAUAUGACACCUUCAAACGUUCAAUGAUGUCUUGGAAUAGAUAUAGACACGGAAGUGAGGAGGAUGACUCGGCGUCAAGCUUCCAGCUAUUUCUUUGUGGAUUUGCAGCUGGAACAUUCUCAAAAGCUGCAUGUCACCCACUUGAUGUUGUAAAGAAAAGGUUCCAGAUCGAAGGACUAAAGCGCCACCCAAGGUAUGGGGCGCGGAUUGAGAGCAGCACAUACAAGGGCAUGUACCAUGCCCUAAAAGAGAUUGUUGUGAAGGAGGGGUUCGGAGGCCUUUACAAAGGGCUUUUCCCAUCUGUGGUGAAAUCGGCUCCUGCUGGUGCUGUGACCUUUGUGGCAUACGAAUACAUCUCGGACUGGUUAGAGUCAAUUCUCAUGUGAAAGAUCUUCAUGCAGCAUUUUUGCUCAGCUUGUUUUGUGUUGUCCAUAGUCCUUCAUCACAUUUCUAUUAGCAAAUGGAUGUUAUGUCUUGAAGAGGCUGCAGUUCCUUUGGAUCUUGCAGCCAAUUCAAGAUUUUGGGAGCCUACAUAGCCAGCUGGAUGAGUUAAUGCUUGAUAGCAAGCAAGGCCGGAGUUGAGUGAGUUUGUUGCUGGAUAAAGGAUCUAACAGUAUCCACACUCUGGUCAUGAGUGGGAACAUUCAGCUGUUUUGUGGCCGCAAGGUCAAUGGAGAAGUGCAUACAAUUGAUUAUUCAUUGAGAGUUGCUUACCUGUAAAGCCUUACUAUAGAAUGAGCUAUUUUGCUAUUUUCUCUCCCUUUUUUCUUGCCCCAUCCCCUAACAUCGAGGCUGAGUAAAACUAGUGGAGCUUGUGACUUGUGAUGAAUGUCAAGAGUAGCAAGCAUUUUUGUUUAGAGAUGUGUACCAUACAGUUAACCACUUUUUCACUUCUUAUGUAAUACUGCUGCUUCGGAUGCAACCAAUCUGCUUUGGCAUAUGUAUCUGUGGAAUACAUUUUGCUAUGUUGCGUUCA